GGUGCGCGCGCGCAUGUGUGUGUGUGUGUGUGUACACGAGAAAGCGUAUUCGCCGAAACGCGUUCGAUAAACACACACACACACACGCGCGCGCGCGCGCGCG